rnacentral:rRNA from 1 species
CAGCAGCCGCGGUAAUACGUAGGGGGCAAGCGUUAUCCGGAUUUACUGGGUGUAAAGGGUGCGUAGGUGGCAGUGCAAGUCAGAUGUGAAAGGCCGGGGCUCAACCCCGGAGCUGCAUUUGAAACUGCAUAGCUGGAGUACAGGAGAGGCAGGCGGAAUUCCUAGUGUAGCGGUGAAAUGCGUAGAUAUUAGGAGGAACACCAGUGGCGAAGGCGGCCUGCUGGACUGUUACUGACACUGAGGCACGAAAGCGUGGGGAGCAAACAGGAUUAGAUACCCUGGUAGUCCACGCCGUAAACGAUGGAUACUAGGUGUCGGGGCCGUAUAGGCUCCGGUGCCGCCGCUAACGCAGUNAGUAUUCCACCUGGGGAGU